GACGUAGGGCGCGAGCGUUGUCCGGAUUUAUUGGGCGUAAAGAGCUCGUAGGCGGCUUGUCGCGUCGAAUGUGAAAACUCGGGGCUCAACUCCGAGCUUGCAUUCGAUACGGGCAGGCUAGAGUUCGGUAGGGGAGGACUGGAAUUCCUGGUGUAGCGGUGAAAUGCGCAGAUAUCAGGAGGAACACCGGUGGCGAAGGCGGGUCUCUGGGCAAUAACUGACGCUGAGGAGCGAAAGCGUGGGGGAGCGAACAGG
rnacentral:rRNA from 1 species